rnacentral:rRNA from 1 species
UACGUAGGCAGCGAGCGUUGUUCGGAGUUACUGGGCGUAAAGGGUGUGUAGGCGGUUGUUUAAGUUUGGUGUGAAAUCUCCCGGCUCAACUGGGAGGGUGCGCCGAAUACUGAAUGACUUGGAGUGCGGGAGAGGAGAGUGGAAUUCCUGGUGUAGCGGUGAAAUGCGUAGAUAUCAGGAGGAACACCGGUGGUGUAGACGGCUCUCUGGACCGUGACUGACGCUGAGACACGAAAGCGUGGGUAGCAAACAGG